rnacentral:rRNA from 1 species
CCUACGGGUGACAGCAGUGAGGAAUAUUGGUGAAUGGGCGCGAGCCUGAACCAGCCAAGUAGCGUGAAGGAUGACUGCCCUACGGGCUGUAAACUUCUUUUAUAAAGGAAUAAAGUGAGGCACGUGUGCCAUAUGGUAUGUACUUUAUGAAUAAGGAUCGGCUAACUCCGUGCCAGCAGCCGCGGUAAUACGGAGGAUCCGAGCGUUGUCCGGAUUUAUUGGGUUUAAAGGGAGCGUAGAUGGGUUGUUAAGUCAGUUGUGAAAGUUUGCGGCUCAACCGUAAAAUUGCAAUUGUAACUGGCAGUCUUGAGUACAGUUGAGGUAGGCGGAAUUCGUGGUGUAGCGGUGAAAUGCUUAGAUAUCACGAAGAACUCCGAUUGCGAAGGCAGCUUACUAAACUGCCACUGACAUUGAUGCUCGAAAGUGUGGGUAUCAAACAGGAUUAGAUACCCCGGUAGUC